rnacentral:rRNA from 1 species
GAUGAACGCUAGCUACAGGCUUAACACAUGCAAGUCGAGGGGAAACGAUAGAGAAAGCUUGCUUUUUCUAGGCGUCGACCGGCGCACGGGUGAGUAACGCGUAUCCAACCUGCCCAUCACUUGGGGAUAACCUUGCGAAAGUAAGACUAAUACCCAAUGGUAUCUCUAGAAGACAUCUGAAGGAGAUUAAAGAUUUAUCGGUGAUGGAUGGGGACGCGUCUGAUUAGCUUGUUGGCGGGGUAACGGCCCACCAAGGCGACGAUCAGUAGGGGUUCUGAGAGGAAGGGCCCCCACAUUGGAACUGAAACACGGACCAAACUCCUACGGGAGGCGGCAGUGAGGAAUAUUGGUCAAUGGGCGAGAGCCUGAACCAGCCAAGUAGCGUGCAGGAUGACGGCCCUAUGGGUUGUAAACUGCUUUUAUAAGGGAAUAAAGUGAGUCUCGUGAGGCUUUUUGCAUGUACCUUAUGAAUAAGGACCGGCUAAUUCCGUGCCAGCAGCCGCCGUAA